CAGUUGUUUACGUAAUUAGCAACGCAGCGUUUUAAUACUGUUUUAUUAACAUUUAUCUUUAAUUAAUCAUAUUACAAUAAAUUUGGAAAGUAUAGCGCGUAUUUAGCUUGGUGUGAAAUGGGCAGAAACAAGUCCUGUGGCGAAAGUACGAGGGCCAUUAUUAUUAACAUGCGCAACAUUGGAAAGUCCUAUUUUAAGAUCGCUAAAGAUCUCUAAAAUAAUGGUUUUCAACGCUGUUCAGUAUUUUAAAAUCUACAAACCCACAACAAAAGUGCCACGCAAGAAAAGGCCUCGUAUAACCACCGCUAGAGAUGACGAGCGAAUCAAAAAAAUGCAUCCAAAAACAACAAAUAAAAAUACAAAUUUUUGGGGAAUGAUAAUGCAUCAUCGGUUGAAAUUGUCAAAAGACGUUUAAGAGAAAAAAUAUUCUUUGGAAGGAUUUCUCGAAAGAAGUCACUGCUGUCAAAGCAAAAUCAUAAAAAACGACUUGAAUUCGCCAAGAAAUAUCGUCAUUGAACAUUUAAAAGGAGUGGAAAAGAGUCCUAUUUUUGGAUGAAACAAAUACACUGUCACCAGAUGGAAAAACUUACGUUCGGCGUCCGCGGUGUAAAAAUUUUGACUCCAAAUAGACUCGUCCCACGCUGAAUCGCGGCGGCGCUAAUAUAAUGAUAUGGGGUGCUAUGUCAUGAGGGGGUGUUGGGCUGAUAACAAAAAUUGAGGGUCACAUUGAUCAGCACCAGAAUAUUUCUAUACUGAGAAAUGUACUGCUGCCAUAGUCCUACGACAAUAUGCCUGUUACUUGACAAUUUCAGUAACAUAACGACCCCAAACAUCCCGCGCGGUCAAGUAAACAAUAGAUGGACGAAAGUUUUUAUUAGACUGGCCCUCGUGCAGUCCAGACUUGAACCCCAUUGAGAAUCUCUGGGAGGAAUUUAAAACGGAAAUUUCACCGAACUAUUCAAAAAGAUACCAUACCGCACGAAGUUUCAGUUAGUUUUAGCAUACCUCGUAAAGAGAGAACUGCAUUUACUAAAGAGCAAAUCAGGGAGUUGGAAGCCGAAUUUGCGCAUUCAAAUUAUUUAACACGGCUUAGAAGAUAUGAAAUAGCGGUUGCCUUAGAUUUAACAGAACGACAGGUUAAAGUAUGGUUUCAAAACAGACGUAUGAAAUGGAAGCGGCUUAAACUGGAGUCUCCAAAUUCUGAUGUGUUCCCAAAAAUAAAUAACCAACUGAUUACAUAGAGUUUUAAAUAUUUUUUAUAUAUGUAUUACUUUGUAAUAUUUAUGAAAAUUUAAAAAAUAAUAAUAAUAUUCACG